rnacentral:rRNA from 1 species
CCCUUAGAUGUUCUGGGCCGCACGCGCGCUACACUGAUGCAUUCAACAAGCCUAGCCUUGACCGAGAGGUCCGGGUAAUCUUUGAAACUGCAUCGUGAUGGGGCUAGAUUAUUGCAAUUAUUAAUCUUCAACGAGGAAUGCCUAGUAAGCGUGAUUCAUCAAAUCGCGUUGAUUACGUCCCUGCCCUUUGUACACACCGCCCGUCGCUCCUACCGAUUGAAUGGUCCGGUGAAAUCCUCGGAUCGAGCCGUGGGGCAACUCCGGUUCGAGAAGUUGAUUAAACCUUACCAUUUAGAGGAAGGUGAAGUCGUAACA